UCAAAGAUAUAGUUUUAUCUUGAUUUUUUCAGGAUUUUAUUUUGUUGUGCAAUUUUUUGACAGCAAAAUUUCCCCUUUUAGUAAACUAUGUGAUACCUUCUGUCCCCAUACGUGACACACCUUUCUUAGACUCUCUUUCAGAAGCCCCUAAAUUAGAAUGCCAAGGGUGCACUCUCACACUGGAUGCAUGUGCCGAAGCAUAAAGUGAAGUCUUGGAAAUUACAUCACAUUUUCAAAGAAGAAAACAAAAAUAUCAUAUUUUAAAAGAUCUGAAACUGGAGUUAUAUUAUUAAACUAUUAUAUAUGUUUUGAGGAGGACAAGGAACAAGAUAAUACGUGCAUAAAUUUGGAAUUAAACAAGCCAGCCUUUUACUAUGAAGAAGUGCUUCGUUCGGAAGGGAAUUUUGCAUGAAAGCAACUUUAGCUGGACAGCUUGGAGUCUUUCUGUGCAGGACUGAGGGGCUGAACCAUCCUAUAACCUGGCUGUGGCUGGCCUUCUGGGGGACUCCGGUACGCCUUCAUCUCCUGCACUUCAACUUUGCAAACCCACCUUGUCUGUCACUCUUAGGCAGGGUUCUGAGCUUUGCUGCACAUUUUUGAUGCACAGUUAAUAAAACAUAUUCUGAUCUAACUA